UACGUAGGGUGCAAGCGUUGUCCGGAGUUACUGGGCGUAAAGCGCACGCAGGCGGUCUGCUAAGUUUGGAGUGACAGUUGGUGGCUUAACUGCCAAAGUGCUUCGAAAACUGACAGACUUGAGGGCUUCAGAGGGACAUGGAAUUCCGGGUGGAGUGGUGAAAUGCGUAGAGAUCCGGAGGAACACCAAAGGCGAAGGCAGUGUCCUGGGGAGUACCUGACGCUCAGGUGCGAAAGCCAGGGGAGCGAACGGG
rnacentral:rRNA from 1 species